UCGAUUUGGAGUUUGUUGCCUAGAGUGAUGGGCUCCGAAGCUAACGCGAUAAAUCGACCGCCUGGGGAGUACGGCCGCAAGGUUAAAACUCAAAUGAAUUGACGGGGGCCCGCACAAGCGGUGGAGCAUGUGGUUUAAUUCGAUGCAACGCGAAGAACCUUACCUGGUCUUGACAUCCACAGAAUUUUUCAGAGAUGAGAGAGUGCCUUCGGGAACUGUGAGACAGGUGCUGCAUGGCUGUCGUCAGCUCGUGUUGUGAAAUGUUGGGUUAAGUCCCGCAACGAGCGCAACCCUUAUCCUUUGUUGCCAGCGAUUAGGUCGGGAACUCAAAGGAGACUGCCGUUGAUAAAACGGAGGAAGGUGGGGACGACGUCAAGUCAUCAUGGCCCUUACGACCAGGGCUACACACGUGCUACAAUGGCGUAUACAAAGGGAAGCGAAGGUGCGAGCUGGAGCGGACCUCCUAAAGUACGUCUAAGUCCGGAUUGGAGUCUGCAACUCGACUCCAUGAAGUCGGAAUCGCUAGUAAUCGUGAAUCAGAAUGUCACGGUGAAAUACGUUCCCGGGCCU
rnacentral:rRNA from 1 species